CGCCUGCUCUUGCUCUCAGCUGGUCACUGCCCCCAUGUUCAGAGCCAAUUUUCUGAAAUGUUCUGAGUACAAAAACAUCCCCUCUGAUCUCACCUCAUUAUUCUAUGCUUCUUCUAAGAAGGACUGUCACAGCACAGAGGACAGCUGAAGAGUGAGGUGGCAGAGACUGACUUGAGAGAGGAAGAGGAUCUGGGGGUCCUGAUGGACCAGGGUGGGGGGGAUACACCAAGGGCUAAACUACAAUUUUGAAAAAAAAAAAAAAAAAAANNNNNNNNNNAAAAAAAAAAAAAAAAAAAAAAAGGCUCACCCAGCAUCAAGCAGACAUCAGAAAGAACUUCCAGUCCAGACCAGCAGGAGGCUCAGGAAUGCGAUUCUUCCAACUGUCUGGGGUGCCUGAAAUAUUGACCUGCUCAGAGGCAGGGGAAUAUCCGCAAUGACCCUUCCUCACCCUGUUGUUAAAGGGCUCCUUGUGGCCCAGGUCCACCUGCUCCCAGGCUUCCAUCAGCCCAAGUGCCAUUAAGUAUCUCGGAAUAAAAAUCUGACUUCAGAAUCAAUUGAUGGAGAGAGGUUCUCCAAACAUUCGCUGGCGAAGGUAAUUAAAUUCCAAUCGGAGAAGAUGGAGCUGUGUGACAGGGCGGUGGGGGCAGCGGCUGGCGCCUGGCUGCUGAGCAAUGAAAUCA
rnacentral:lncRNA from 1 species